AACGAACGCUGGCGGCAUGCCUAACACAUGCAAGUCGAACGAGACCUUCGGGUCUAGUGGCGCACGGGUGCGUAACGCGUGGGAAUCUGCCCUUGGGUUCGGAAUAACAGUGAGAAAUUACUGCUAAUACCGGAUGAUGUCUUCGGACCAAAGAUUUAUCGCCCAGGGAUGAGCCCGCGUAGGAUUAGCUAGUUGGUGGGGUAAUGGCCUACCAAGGCGACGAUCCUUAGCUGGUCUGAGAGGAUGAUCAGCCACACUGGGACUGAGACACGGCCCAGACUCCUACGGGAGGCAGCAGUGGGGAAUAUUGGACAAUGGGCGCAAGCCUGAUCCAGCAACGCCGCGUGAGUGAUGAAGGCCUUAGGGUUGUAAAGCUCUUUUACCCGGGAUGAUAAUGACAGUACCGGGAGAAUAAGCUCCGGCUAACUCCGUG
rnacentral:rRNA from 1 species